GGGGAUGAACUUGGUUUCGACGGGAAUGUGGAUGUUUAAGACUGCAUUCGGUGUUCUCAGCAACCCACCUUAAAAAGGCUGGAACCAAAAAAUAAGCGACAACUAUAAUUACGCUUUAGCUGCUUAAUAAAUAAAGCAGCUCGUCUUCUGCCGCUCCGCUGCUCAUCCGGAUGGCAAGAAGGCGCCAUAAUGAUGAGCUGGCUUCUUCGGUUAACUUGAGCCGGGAAGCGAGAUAACAUCAAGUGUAGCUUUUAAAUGGCUCAGUCUACCGCGCAGUUUAGAAGCGAAAUCUAAAGGUAAACUAUGAAUGUAGGCGUUUUAAUGGUCUUGUUCUCGGACCCGGGUUCGACUCCCGGCAUCUCCACAA
rnacentral:tmRNA from 1 species